rnacentral:rRNA from 1 species
AACGAACGCUGGCGGCAUGCCUAACACAUGCAAGUCGAACGAGACCUUCGGGUCUAGUGGCGCACGGGUGCGUAACGCGUGGGAACCUGCCCUUAGGUUCGGAAUAACUCCCCGAAAGGGGUGCUAAUACCGGAUAAUGUCUUCGGACCAAAGAUUUAUCGCCUUUGGAUGGGCCCGCGUUGGAUUAGCUAGUUGGUAGGGUAAAAGCCUACCAAGGCGACGAUCCAUAGCUGGUCUGAGAGGAUGAUCAGCCACACUGGGACUGAGACACGGCCCAGACUCCUACGGGAGGCAGCAGUGGGGAAUAGUGGACAAUGGGCGAAAGCCUGAACCAGCAAUGACGCGUGAGUGAUGAAGGCCUUAGGGUUGUAAAGCUCUUUUAACCGGGAUGAUAAUGACAGUACCGGGAGAAUAAGCGCCGGCUAACUCCGUG